ACAUCAGGCUCAACCUGAUGCUGUUGACUGGCUACGGAAGAAGGGAAAAAGCUAGAAGAAGAAGCACCAAGCUCCAACAAUAAUUGGUUGUAAUAAUAAAAAUUUUUUUUUCCCUUU